rnacentral:lncRNA from 1 species
CUUGCAAUUAUUAUAAAAUCAUUUUAAAACCCUGUGUUACUUAGGUUAAUAUGGAAUAUGUUGUGGUAGAAUAUGAGUUUCUUAUUCUUGAUAUCAUUGCUACUUGGAGAAUUUAUUUCAAAAUAUUCAAAAUUCUAGCUACCAUCCUCAUUGUUUUAUAUGCCUGAUAAAACUAAAAAUAUUAAUUAUGUUUAUAAAAGCUAUCUACUCUGUAUUGAGUUUGUUCAAAAUGAGUUAGACCCUUGUUGAGAGAUUUAUCAUGCUCCUAAGAUCAAGACAUUUAUUCAGAAAGAUUCACUCUUCCGAAGUAUUAUUGCAUUAGAGGCAUGGGCUAUGCAAAAAUAGAGAUAUUUCAAGGAAAUAAAAAGGAGCAAGUGCACGACAACCUCGCAGAAAAAAUGGACAAGUGUCCAACAGUAGAAUUAGGGAUACCUCGGUAUCCACUUAAAAAAAGAAGGAAAAAAAUGAUAGCCCAUUGUCCCUCUAAUAAGCAAUAUGCCAGCAAGAGUUGACAAAGAUUUUAAUUUCCAAAGUCUUUGAUCUAAGAGUAUGACAUUCCCCACCUCGGAUCCCGUUUUGAUCAGGCAAUAAAUGCAAAGUAAGUAUGCUUGAGAAUUUUUGCAAAUUAAAACAGCCUCAGUGAGAUAUAUAAAAAAAUAAUGAG